AGUUAAUCGAUAUUCAUAUUGGAUUGUACAUUUGAAUUAAUUUAGGAAUUCUCGUCUUCAUAUAUCUAAAUAAUAUGUCUCUUAUUGACCGGAGAAUUUUCCUCAAACCGAUGGGAAGUGAAUAAAAAAUAAUCGUCACUUGCAAAAUAAUAUGAUAUCAAAGCCGAAUGAAUUUUCCUGUAUCCGAAUGAACGAUCGCAUUAUAAUGAGCUGCGGUCGUAAAAAAUUCCAAACCGCUCAUCCCGGCGAAAGGUUAAUGAGGUGCCUCAUUAGCCAAUGCUACAAUUUGCGCAUUACGACGCACAUGUUCACAAAUCAUAUAUCAACAUUUUGUCUAACUAGGCAUGCGUUCGAAGUGCAAAUAUGGAGCGAUAACCCCAUCCUCAGAUUAUAAAAACUGUUGCUCAAAACUGUUUUGUCUGUCGACACCGCAACUUCCAAAAUUUAUGAAUCAAGGAACAAGUCACAGGUCUAGAUUCAAUUGACUCUACGAGUUGACUCACUCUCUGUGGAUUAGUACAUACAACCCAAGGCAGGCUAAUACAGCGUACUUGAGCUUCGGAUACUCGUUCAUGUAUAUUGUUACCAUUCCAACAUACGUUUGAGGACUCGAUGGACGAUUGGAAUGUCUCUACCAUCGACCUUAAAGACAACAAUCUCUCCAACACGAACGGGUUCGUCCUGGUAAUUAGUGAGGAAAAGGAGAUCUCCACGAUGAAACGCUGGUUCCAUACUUCCACUGGAUAAAUUCAAUAGAAGAUAAAUGUAAUUGAGAAUAAGAAUUAUGUUUAUAUUCCAGUGUUAGUAACACGAAAGAAUAUGUUGUGGCGUUUACAUUGAAUGCUGAUUCAAAAUCCAGAGUGAGAUAAACCCAUGAUUACGUUCGAUAGAUAGUACAUGCAGAGUGUAAACAGCUUUCAAAUACAGAGUUUUAAUUACCCCAGUGAUUACAGAACAUUAAUAAACAAAUUGGGGAUGAGA